rnacentral:rRNA from 1 species
GACGAACGCUGGCGGCGUGCUUAACACAUGCAAGUCGAACGGAAAGGCCCAGCUUUUGUGGGGUUCUCGAGUGGCGAACGGGUGAGUAACACGUGAGUAACCUGCCCUUGACUUUGGGAUAACUUCAGGAAACUGGGGCUAAUACCGGAUAGGAGCUCCUGCUGCAUGGUGGGGGUUGGAAAGCUUCGGCGGUUGGGGAUGGACGCGCGGCUUAUCAGCUUGUUGGUGGGGGAGUGGCUUACCAAGCCUUUGACGGGUAGCCGGCCUGAGAGGGUGACCGGCCACAUUGGGACUGAGGGACGGCACAGAGUCCUACGGGGGGCAGCAGUCGGGAAUAUUGCACAGCGGUCGGAAGCCUGAUGCAGCAAUGUCGGGUGCGGGAUGACGGCCUUCUUGUGGUAAGCCGCUUUCGCCUGUGACGAUGCGUGAGUGACGGUAAUGGGUAAAGAAGCACCGGCUAACUACGUG